rnacentral:rRNA from 1 species
GUUGUAUGGUUAAGUGACUAAGCGUACACGGUGGAUGCCUUGGCAGUCAGAGGCGAUGAAGGACGUAUUAACUUGCGAUAAGCCCAGAUUAGGUAGUAAAAACCACUUGAGUCUGGGAUUUCCGAAUGGGGAAACCCACUAGCAUAAGCUAGUAUCGCUGCGUGAAUACAUAGCGCAGCGAGGCGAACCGGGGGAACUGAAACAUCUAAGUACCCCGAGGAAAAGAAAUCAACCGAGAUUCCGAAAGUAGCGGCGAGCGAAAUUGGACUAGCCCUUAAGCUUUUUAUGCGUCAGGUGAAACUUCUGGAAAGUUGUGCGAUACAGGGUGAUAGCCCCGUAACCGGCAACGCAUUUAAAGUGAAAUCGAGUAGGGCGGGACACGUGAUAUCCUGUCUGAAUAUGGGGGGACCAUCCUCCAAGGCUAAAUACUACUGACUGACCGAUAGUGAACCAGUACCGUGAGGGAAAGGCGAAAAGAACCCCUGUGAGGGGAGUGAAAUAGAACCUGAAACCGUGUACGUACAAGCAGUAGGAGCACCUUUGUGGUGUGACUGCGUACCUUUUGUAUAAUGGGUCAGCGACUUAUAUUCAGUGGCAAGGUUAACCAUCUAGGGGAGCCGUAGGGAAACCGAGUCUUAACUGGGCGUUCAGUCUCUGGAUAUAGACCCGAAACCAGGUGAUCUAGCCAUGGGCAGGUUGAAGGUUGAGUAACAUCAACUGGAGGACCGAACCGACUAAUGUUGAAAAAUUAGCGGAUGACUUGUGGCUAGGGGUGAAAGGCCAAUCAAACCUGGAGAUAGCUGGUUCUCCCCGAAAGCUAUUUAGGUAGCGCCUCGGACGAAUACUACUGGGGGUAGAGCACUGUUAAGGCUAGGGGGUCAUCCCGACUUACCAACCCUUUGCAAACUCCGAAUACCAGUAAGUACUAUCCGGGAGACACACGGCGGGUGCUAACGUCCGUCGUGGAGAGGGAAACAACCCAGACCGCCAGCUAAGGUCCCAAAUUACUACUAAGUGGGAAACGAUGUGGGAAGGCUCAGACAGCCAGGAUGUUGGCUUAGAAGCAGCCAUCAUUUAAAGAAAGCGUAAUAGCUCACUGGUCGAGUCGGCCUGCGCGGAAGAUGUAACGGGGCUAAGUAGUAAACCGAAGCUGCGGCAAUGCACUUUAGUGCAUUGGGUAGGGGAGCGUUCUGUAAGCGGUUGAAGGUGUGUGGUAACGCAUGCUGGACGUAUCAGAAGUGCGAAUGCUGACAUGAGUAACGAUAAAGGGGGUGAAAAACCUCCUCGCCGGAAGACCAAGGGUUCCUGUCCAACGUUAAUCGGGGCAGGGUAAGUCGACCCCUAAGGCGAGGCCGAAAGGCGUAGUCGAUGGGAAACGGGUUAAUAUUCCCGUACUUCUUACAAUUGCGAUGGGGGGACGGAGAAGGCUAGGUGGGCCUGGCGACGGUUGUCCAGGUUCAAGUGCGUAGGCUGAGAAAUUAGGUAAAUCCGGUUUCUCUUAAGGCUGAGACACGACGUCGAGCUACUACGGUAGUGAAGUCAUUGAUGCCAUGCUUCCAGGAAAAGCCUCUAAGCUUCAGAUUGUAAGGAAUCGUACCCCAAACCGACACAGGUGGUCGGGUAGAGAAUACCAAGGCGCUUGAGAGAACUCGGGUGAAGGAACUAGGCAAAAUGGUACCGUAACUUCGGGAGAAGGUACGCUCUCGACGGUGAAGUCCCUUGCGGAUGGAGCUAUUGAGAGUCGCAGAUACCAGGUGGCUGCAACUGUUUAUUAAAAACACAGCACUGUGCAAAAUCGUAAGAUGACGUAUACGGUGUGACGCCUGCCCGGUGCCGGAAGGUUAAUUGAUGGGGUUAGACUUCGGUCGAAGCUCUUGAUCGAAGCCCCGGUAAACGGCGGCCGUAACUAUAACGGUCCUAAGGUAGCGAAAUUCCUUGUCGGGUAAGUUCCGACCUGCACGAAUGGCGUAAUGAUGGCCACGCUGUCUCCACCCGAGACUCAGUGAAAUUGAAAUCGCUGUGAAGAUGCAGUGUACCCGCGGCUAGACGGAAAGACCCCGUGAACCUUUACUACAGCUUGGCACUGAACAUUGACCCUACAUGUGUAGGAUAGGUGGGAGGCUUUGAAACUAGUACGCCAGUAUUAGUGGAGCCGUCCUUGAAAUACCACCCUUGUAGUGUUGAUGUUCUAACGUCGACCCCUUAUCGGGGUUGCGGACAGUGCCUGGUGGGUAGUUUGACUGGGGCGGUCUCCUCCCAAAGCGUAACGGAGGAGCACGAAGGUGGGCUAAUCACGGUUGGACAUCGUGAGGUUAGUGCAAUGGCAUAAGCCCGCUUGACUGCGAGAAUGACAAUUCGAGCAGGUGCGAAAGCAGGUCAUAGUGAUCCGGUGGUUCUGAAUGGAAGGGCCAUCGCUCAACGGAUAAAAGGUACUCCGGGGAUAACAGGCUGAUACCGCCCAAGAGUUCAUAUCGACGGCGGUGUUUGGCACCUCGAUGUCGGCUCAUCACAUCCUGGGGCUGAAGUCGGUCCCAAGGGUAUGGCUGUUCGCCAUUUAAAGUGGUACGCGAGCUGGGUUUAGAACGUCGUGAGACAGUUCGGUCCCUAUCUGCCGUGGGCGUUGGAAGAUUGAAGGGGGCUGCUCCUAGUACGAGAGGACCGGAGUGGACGAACCUCUGGUGUUCGGGUUGUGUCGCCAGACGCAUUGCCCGGUAGCUAAGUUCGGAAUCGAUAACCGCUGAAAGCAUCUAAGCGGGAAGCGAGCCCUGAGAUGAGUCUUCCCUGAUACUUUAAGUAUCCUGAAGGGUUGUUCGAGACUAGAACGUUGAUAGGCAGGGUGUGUAAGCGUUGUGAGGCGUUGAGCUAACCUGUACUAAUUGCCCGUGAGGCUUAACCAUACAACACCCAAGGGGUUU